AGCACGCCGCGUGAGGGAUGAAGGCCUCUGGGCUGUAAACCUCUUUUCUCAAGGAAGAAGAUCUGACGGUACUUGAGGAAUAAGCCACGGCUAAUUCCGUGCCAGCAGCCGCGGUAAUACGGGAGUGGCAAGCGUUAUCCGGAAUUAUUGGGCGUAAAGCGUCCGCAGGCGGCCCUUCAAGUCUGCUGUUAAAAAGUGGAGCUUAACUCCAUCGUGGCAGUGGAAACUGUUGGGCUAGAGUGUGGUAGGGGCAGAGGGAAUUCCCGGUGUAGCGGUGAAAUGCGUAGAUAUCGGGAAGAACACCAGUGGCGAAGGCGCUCUGCUGGGCCAUAACUGACGCUCAUGGACGAAAGCCAGGGGAGCGAAAGGGAUUAGAUACCCCUGUAGUCCUGGCCGUAAACGAUGAACACUAGGUGUCGGGGGAAUCGACCCCCUCGGUGUCGUAGCCAACGCGUUAAGUGUUCCGCCUGGGGAGUACGCACGCAAGUGUGAAACUCAAAGGAAUUGACGGGGGCCCGCACAAGCGGUGGAGUAUGUGGUUUAAUUCGAUGCAACGCGAAGAACCUUACCAGGGUUUGACAUCCUGCGAAUCUCCUGGAAACGGGAGAGUGCCUUCGGGAACGCAGUGACAGGUGGUGCAUGGCUGUCGUCAGCUCGUGUCGUGAGAUGUUGGGUUAAGUCCCGCAACGAGCGCAACCCACGUCUUUAGUUGCCAGCAUUCAGUUGGGCACUCUAGAGAGACCGCCGGUGAUAAACCGGAGGAAGGUGUGGAUGACGUCAAGUCAUCAUGCCCCUUACAUCCUGGGCUACACACGUACUACAAUGCUACGGACAAAGGGCAGCAAACUCGCGAGAGCUAGCAAAUCCCAUAAACCGUGGCUCAGUUCAGAUCGUAGGCUGCAACUCGCCUACGUGAAGGAGGAAUCGCUAGUAAUCGCACGUCAGCAUACUGCGGU
rnacentral:rRNA from 1 species